GGAGAAAUGGCAGAGUGGUCGAUUGCGGCAGUCUUGAAAACUGUUGUACCGUGAGGUACCUGGGGUUCGAAUCCCUAUUUCUCCG
rnacentral:tRNA from 1 species